ACGGGAGGCAGCAGUGGGGAAUAUUGCACAAUGGGCGGAAGCCUGAUGCAGCGACGCCGCGUGAGGGAUGACGGCCUUCGGGUUGUAAACCUCUUUCAGCAGGGACGAAGCGUAAGUGACGGUACCUGCAGAAGAAGCGCCGGCCAACUACGUGCCAGCAGCCGCGGUAAGACGUAGGGCGCGAGCGUUGUCCGGAUUUAUUGGGCGUAAAGAGCUCGUAGGCGGCUUGUCGCGUCGACUGUGAAAACCCGCGGCUCAACCGCGGGCCUGCAGCCGAUACGGGCAGGCUAGAGUUCGGUAGGGGAGACUGGAAUUCCUGGUGUAGCGGUGAAAUGCGCAGAUAUCAGGAGGAACACCGGUGGCGAAGGCGGGUCUCUGGGCCGAUACUGACGCUGAGGAGCGAAAGCGUGGGGAGCGAACAGGAUUAGAUACCCUGGUA
rnacentral:rRNA from 1 species